GACGAUUUUUGGUAAAGAUCGGGUGGUUAUUUAUUUGUUUGUUUAUUGGUAUUUGGUAAUUAUAAUAAACUGAAUCAAGUGGGAACUGGGCGGCUGCAAGCACGUGUUUAAAGAACUCUAUGGUGCAUACAUUCAACAGACCAAAAACUCUCUGGAAAAUGUUUGCUACCCCAUCCCAAUUCCUGAUAGUAAAAUGCAUUAGAAAAAUCUGCAUUUAGUUUCUGUUCUGCAGCUUCUUUCCAAUAGAACUCUCCUACUCUACUUCUCCAUGUCACUCAUAGAUGCAUAAUUAGCAGUCUCAAAUCUUCCUCUAUUGAUCGAACUCAUAUGUGACGGAAAAUCCAUCUGACUCUGAAUGGCACUAGUCACGUUGCUGGACUUCAUGUGUUUAGAUGUGUUGGGUUUCUCUUAAUGAAUGAUACAAUGGAGACACUGGCAGUGAGAAAAAAGGGGAGAAACUUUAGGGAGAAAUAUGCUUUCCUGGCAUCCGGUCAGAUAAUUAUUUCUUGUAACAUUCCUAACGAUGGCAAAAAUGUGAAAACUGAUUUUCUCACGACCUCUCUGCAGAAAAGCAAGACCUAUUCAUGAUAUUUGCAAUCAUAUAGCUGAACUUUUUAUUUGAGGAAACUUUAUUCCAUCACCUGUUUUUAUUGCUUUCUAUUGUGUUGCAGCUCCAUCCUUUUCGCCAGGGACAUCAUACCUGCCUCUGGUUCAUAAUCAUUAUUUGCAAUCCCUGUUGCAGGAAUCGUAUUGCCAAAAUGACAUGACAGAGAAGAUAUGCUUCGAUCCUGAUAUAUUCUUCCACGUGAUUAAGCUGUACCUGUAGCACUUCUCUUAUUUUUUCAGCUUUUCUUUCUUCCCAUUGGAUAGUUAAGUUCUGAAAAAGGGUUCAUAGGGUAUGUACUUGGCAUAGCCAUUGUUAAAAAAAGGGAUAAAACCCAGAUAGAGUUGUAGCGCUGAGGGAAAUAACCAAGGGUAAAACCAAACCGUCAAUAGCUAUUCUAUCAGUGUGUGUUGAAACCACUUGCAAGUCAAUGUAGUUAGGUCAGUAUAUUUUUGAAUCUUGAGGUAUGGAUGGAGCAAACGCAUAAGAGGAUCAGAUUUUCCAACUGUUCUUUACUUGCUUUCCUGUUAGACUGCAGAAUAUCAGUAACAUUUGUAGACAAGGAUGGAGAAGAGAAGCAUACCAAGGUCCCUGUUGGCACAUCGAUGUUAGAACCUGCACACGAGAAUGAUGUUGAGCUUGAAGGUAAAUAUUAAACAUGUUCGGUUUAAGCUUUAAAAAAAAUGUAAAAAGUUACUUUUCAACUCACCUUUUGUUUACAAACCGUGUUCGGAAAUAUUGAUUUUUGCCAACUUUUAUAUAAAAAUAAAAUAAAUUCUCGUCUUUAA